rnacentral:rRNA from 1 species
UACGUAGGGAGCGAGCGUUGUCCGGAUUCAUUGGGCGUAAAGCGCGUGUAGGCGGCCCGGUAAGUCCGCUGUGAAAGUCCAGGGCUCAACCCUGGGAUGCCGGUGGAUACUGUCGGGCUCGAGUCCGGAAGAGGCGAGUGGAAUUCCUGGUGUAGCGGUGAAAUGCGCAGAUAUCAGGAGGAACACCAAUGGCGAAGGCAGCUCGCUGGGACGUGACUGACGCUGAGACGCGAAAGCGUGGGGAGCAAACAGG